rnacentral:rRNA from 1 species
AUUGAACGCUGGCGGCAGGCCUAACACAUGCAAGUCGAACGAGUGGCGGACGGGUGAGUAAUGUCUGGGAAACUGCCCGAUGGAGGGGGAUAACUACUGGAAACGGUAGCUAAUACCGCAUACCAUCGGAUGUGCCCAGAUGGGAUUAGCUAGUCGGUGGGGUAACGGCUCACCUAGGCGACGAUCCCUAGGUGGUCUGAGAGGAUGACGAGCCACACGGGAACUGAGACACGGGCCAGACGCCUACGGGAGGCAGCAGUGGGGAAUAUUGCACAAGGGGCGCAAGUCUGAUGCAGCCAUGCCGCGUGUAUGAAGAAGGCCUUCGGGGUGUAAAGUACUUUCAGCGAGGAGGCGGUACUCGCAGAAGAAGCACCGGCUAACUCCGUGCCAGCAGCCGCGGAUAC